UACAAUACAGGCUUGGAAGAAAGAGGUUCCC
rnacentral:piRNA from 1 species